GAAGCUAAUUAAUCCCACAGGAGGGAGGCAAUAGCACCAAGAUUAAAAGGCACACAGGUGGCUGGGCAGGAAAAAGACUUCUCUUCCUCUUGCUCCACUACAUACACGCCCAGGGAAGAGCCAUGUGACUCCAUACUUGCUGCUCCCCCCUGCUGACGGGCCGAUUAAAGCCCUCAGUUGUCUGGUUCUGGCCUGUGGGUCAUAUGUUUGAUACCUCUGCUACAGCAGCGUUUGUUGCACUAAGAUGUGGAAGUGCCAGCAGUGGAUCAACAAAACUGAUUGCCCGAAAUAUCUUCACAUACCUGAAGUAGCUGAAAAUGAGGACUCCCAAAAAAAGAGAUAUUACUAAGACAGACCAGCCGGCUACCUUAGCAGUAUUUGGGCUAAAAAGAAAACAAAAUGGAAGAUGAAUGUAUAUAUUUUUGUGCAGUACCACCAGGCCACAAAAUCCUCCUCAGAAACGAUGUACUAAUAUUUGUUUCAGUAAUUAUGCUUAUGACACUAGUGCAACAGCUACAUAUAUAGAGCCAUGUUUUGUAACUUUGGGAUGGCACAGCUGUUGAUAUACUUUAGACAAAGCAUCUGUGUUUCUGUUUUAGUAAUAAAGGGAUGUUAAUAAUGAAUCAUUGUUAACAAAAAAUAGAACAGAUUUCCAUGUGAUUGUGUAGAAAUCAACAUCAUUGCCUGACAAGACUCUAUAGGCUUUUUGAACAACUACAUUCAAAGCUUUCCAAUCUGUGAUUAUUUAACUUAUAUUUUAACUUUCUACUAAUGUGAAGUCCAAAAGAUAAAAAUAGCUGUACCACAAACUGUGCUGCUGCCAGAUAUGGUUAGAGGACACACUGUCUCAGCAUGAAAGGUGGAUGAUAAAUGAAAUAAAGACAUGAUUCAACAGCUUUGCUGAAACUAA